GGGAUUGCCUCAGUAACGGCGAGUGAAGCGGCAACAGCUCAAAUUUGAAAUCUGGCCCCGUCGGGGUCCGAAUUGUAAUUUGUAGAGAGUGCUUCGGGCGAGGCCUCGGUCUAAGUCCAUUGGAACAUGGUGUCAUAGAGGGUGAGAAUCCCGUAUGCGACCGUGGCUCGAGCCCAUGUGAAGCCUCUUCGACGAGUCGAGUUGUUUGGGAAUGCAGCUCAAAAUGGGUGGUAAAUUUCAUCUAAAGCUAAAUACCGGCUGGAGACCGAUAGCGCACAAGUAGAGUGAUCGAAAGAUGAAAAGCACUUUGGAAAGAGAGUCAAACAGUACGUGAAAUUGUUGAAAGGGAAGCGCUUGCAACCAGACCUGCCCGUAGGCGAUCAGCCGCUGUUCUCAGCGGUGUACUCGCUCUGCGAUCAGGCCAGCAUCGGUUUCGGCGGUUGGAUAAAGGCCUUGGGAAUGUAGCUUCCCUUCGGGGGAGUCUUAUAGCCCUCGGUGCAAUGCGGCCAGCCGGGACCGAGGACCGCGCUUCGGCUAGGAUGCUGGCGUAAUGGUUGUAAGCGACCCGUCUUGAAACACGGACCAAGGAGUCUAACAUCUAUGCGAGUGUUUGGGUGUCAAACCCAUGCGCGGAAUGAAAGUGAACGGAGGUGAGAACCCUGGAGGGCGCAUCAUCGACCGAUCCAGAUGUCUUCGGAUGGAUUUGAGUAUGAGCAUAGCUGUUGGGACCCGAAAGAUGAUGAACUAUUCCUGAAUAGGGUGAAGCCAGAGGAAACUCUGGUGGAGGCUCGCAGCGGUUCUGACGUGCAAAUCGAUCGUCAAAUUUGGGUAUAGGGGCGAAAGACUAAUCG
rnacentral:rRNA from 1 species